rnacentral:ribozyme from 1 species
UGCCCAGCUACUCCUAUCCCUACCUCCUCGUGGUACCGGCCGGAAACUAUGAGCGACCAACCUUAGGGAAGAUCGGGUAACCAACCCCGGUGGGAACUUUGGUCGUAGGCUGACAGGGAAGG